UGGGAGUUCCAGCCACAUGCUUGUCACUAUUUAGAAAUGGGGUUUUAUUGUGUCAUCAUUUCUACCUAUCAAUUUAUAGUACCAUUAGCCCCUUCAUUUCUACUUAGCUUUUAAAAUUAAGAAAGGAGGUAAAAAUCAAUAGCAGCUGAGCUAGCAGGAGCAGAUGUCUGGUAGAGGCCGGAUCAAUGCAUAGAGGGAACUCUCUGAGAGAGCAGAUGGUCCUGAGUUUCAAGCCAUGAAUCACUGUCAUGGACUCUCCUUCAAGCUGUCUUAGAGUACGUGGAGUUGAUAAACCCCGGAAGAGUUGUGAGAUGUGACAUGGAAAAGUGCUAAGAAGAACUGAGCUGUAUAGUGUGAGCUCUGACAGAAAACAUGAAGCAUAUGAAGCUGAAAAAGAAAAGGCCAAGUAGCCAAGUAGUUGGUAUUCAGGCUACUUUCUCCAGUCGAGUUUGUUGUGUGCAGCAAUACGGCACUCUGUCUAUGGGUAUCUUACAGCCUGGAGUACAGUAGACAAAAAUUGCAGUUUAAGAUGAUACAUCUGAACCUUUUGCUAAUAAUCCACUAUAUCUAACACUGGUCUCUACUGUAGUUACUGUGGUACAGACUGCAUGGCAUGGCAGGUCCCGAUUAGAUGGGGGAACAUGUUAGAAAGCAGCAAGUGAAAAAAGGCGUGGACUCAGCUGUAAGUUGAAAAAUACCAUCAAACACAUGGGAAAUCCUUUGCCUUCUUAACAAGAGGUUAUAUAUUAAUUUAGUGUAAUUGUGUUUUAUCCACGUAAAUGUGCCCAAAGGUCUAGGCAUCAGGUGCAUGAUUUUACAGAUGAAUAACAAACUUGCUAUUAUUACAUUACUACUUUAAAUGGAAGGUGUUUUUCUUUUCUAGGCUGGUGAAAAGAAUUAUUACAAAAAACAAGUUUGCAAGUCAAGGCAGGCUUUUAUGGAUCUCCGUUGUUUCCGAGUAAUACAACUGUUUUCAUAUUAAGAAAAAUUGUGAAGCAUCUGUUAUUAUGGUACACACCGGUAUAUUCUUUCAAGAAAUGUAUUUAAUUUGCUUGCAUCAAAUAUCUUUCCAUUCUACUCCAUAUUUUAACAAUGGCUGUUUGUAAAAGAUUAUAUAUGUGUAGACAGAUGCACACACUUAAUCCUUCUAAAACACCCUCCUUUUUCAGAAAACACUGUAUAAACACUAAAAAUUGUAACCUCAUGACACUUCUGUGAUGUGGAUAUUAAACUGAAGCACAGACAGGUGAAAUGACUAGCCCAAUUUUCUUCCCCAAUGUUAGUAUUCUAUUAACUUUCUUACACCAUGCCUAUCACGUGAUAAGAGGGCAGCACAGUAUCUCAGAUCUGAACUACAGAGGCACCAGAAACAUGGAAGAAAAAGUCAAAUGAACAUUUCAUACCCUUAAAAGAAUAACUCUGUCUUUUGCGGUCAGGUAUUCAAAUGGACAAAAUCACAUGGGUGAAGGCUUUAAUUUUUACCAACCCAGAACACCCAUUGCCUAGUUUACAUGUGACUGCUAGGGUCUAGACACCCUAGUGGGAGAACAGGGGAUCUGAACCCAAAAGAGUAAGCAAUUGAAUCAACAGUUUAUAUAAAAUAUAAUUGUGUAUAAAAAUAUGUUGAGUAAGGUCUUUUAUGAAAGCCUGCAAUGUUCUGAAUUUGAUGGUCAUUAUGAUAUAUAGACUGUGGUUAUGAAUCUGUGCAUAUAAGUAUACAGAAUACUAUGCUCAUGACCUGUACUGCAAUUUCAAAUACAUCUCACAGCAGGGAGGUGCUUCUCCAAAGCCAAAUGCUUACACAAAACCAGAUGCAAGUAACAAUCCAUGGUACAACCCCAGAAGAGAAAAAUGAUGGACCAUUACUGUUGGUGGGAAGACAUUGGGACAUCCUAACUGCCAAGUCGAGAGGCAAUUUUCCCUAGCAUGAAUCACCAUAGCCUGUGAGAAAGAAAAAUACAAAACAAACAAACCUGCAAACCUUUAAGAGAGUCAUGGUUUGAAGUGAAGGUGAUCCAGAAACUUAGGGCGAACCUUUAAGUAGGAAGAUGCCCAUGAAAUGCUGGAUCACCUCUCUGACAGGGAGCAUACUAGGAAACUGUUCAAAGGUAGUAGGUAACUUGUAUUAGAAAAAAUAAUGUAUCUAAUAGAGAAGUGUACAAUCUUGAAGUUGCCUCUUUGUUUGUUUUCUGUGCAACUUGUAUAUGUUUGCUUUUUCCUUUUCUUUCAGCUUGUGAAUCUGUGGUUUUCCUAUUAAAUGCAUUUUUUGUUUAU